rnacentral:rRNA from 1 species
UGGGGAAUUUUGGACAAUGGGCGAAAGCCUGAUCCAGCAAUGCCGCGUGUGUGAAGAAGGCCUUCGGGUUGUAAAGCACUUUUGUCCGGAAAGAAAUCCUUGGCUCUAAUACAGUCGGGGGAUGACGGUACCGGAAGAAUAAGCACCGGCUAACUACGUGCCAGCAGCCGCGGUAAUACGUAGGGUGCAAGCGUUAAUCGGAAUUACUGGGCGUAAAGCGUGCGCAGGCGGUUUGCUAAGACCGAUGUGAAAUCCCCCGGGACUCAAGCCUGGGAACUGCAUUGGUGACUGGCAGGCUAGAGUAUGGCAGAGGGGGGUAGAAUUCCACGUGUAGCAGUGAAAUGCGUAGAGAUGUGGAGGAAUACCGAUGGCGAAGGCAGCCCCCUGGGCCAAUACUGACGCUCAUGCACGAAAGCGUGGGGAGCAAACAGGAUUAGAUACCCUGGUAGUCCACGCCCUAAAACGAUGUCAACUAGUUGUUGGGGAUUCAUUUCCUUAGUAACGUAGCUAACGCGUGAAGUUGACCGCCUGGGGGAGUACGGUCGCAAGAUUAAAACUCAAAGGAAUUGACGGGGUCAUAGCUGUUUCC